UACGUGCCAGCAGCCGCGGUCAUACGUGAGACCCCAGCGUUAUCUGGAAUUACUGAGCGUAAGAGUUGCGUAGGUGGCAAGUAAGCGAAGUAUGAAAUCUUGUGGCUCAACCACAAGCCUAUACUUUGAACUACUUAGCUAGAGCAUGAGAGAGGUAACUGGAAUUUCUAGUGUAGGAGUGAAAUCCGUAGAUAUUAGAAGGAACGCCGAUGGCGUAGGCAGGUUACUGGCUCAUUGCUGACACUAAGGCACGAAAGCGUGGGGAGCGAACGGGAUUAGAUACCCCGGUAGUCCACGCCGUAAACUAUGGAUGCUAGCUGUUAUCGGUAUCGACCCCGGUAGUAGCGAAGCUAACGCGUUAAGCAUCCCGCCUGUGGAGUACGAGCGCAAGCUUAAAACAUAAAGGAAUUGACGGGGACCCGCACAAGCGGUGGAGUGUGUUGUUUAAUUCGACGAUAAGCGAAGAACCUUACCAAGGUUUGACAUCCUGGGAAUCUAUCCGAAAGGAAAGAGUGCCUUCGGGAAUCCAGUGACAGGUGUUGCAUGGCCGUCGUCAGCUCGUGUCGUGAGAUGUUUGGUUAAGUCCAUUAACGAGCGCAACCCUUAUAGUUAGUUGAAUUUUUCUAGCUAGACUGCCCCGGCAACGGGGAGGAAGGAGGGGAUGAUGUCAGGUCAGUAUUACCCUUAUAUCUUGGGCUACAAACACACUACAAUGGCCGGUACAAAGGGCAGCUAAGUCGCAAGGCGGAGCAAAUCCCAUCAAAGCCGGUCUCAGUUCGGAUAGCAGGCUGAAACUCGCCUGCUUGAAGCUGGAAUCGCUAGUAACGGUAGGUCAGCAUACUACCGUGAAAACGUUCCCGGGCCUUGUACACACCGCCAU
rnacentral:rRNA from 1 species